AGAGUUUGAUCAUGGCUCAGGAUGAACGCUGGCGGCAGGCCUAACACAUGCAAGUCGAACGGGCACCUUCGGGUGUCAGUGGCAGACGGGUGAGUAACGCGUGGGAACGUGCCCAUCGGUUCGGGAUAACCCAGGGAAACUUGGGCUAAUACCGGAUACGCCCUUUUGGGGAAAGAUUCAUUGCCGAUGGAUCGGCCCGCGUCUGAUUAGCUAGUUGGUGAGGUAACGGCUCACCAAGGCGACGAUCAGUAGCUGGUCUGAGAGGAUGAUCAGCCACACUGGGACUGAGACACGGCCCAGACUCCUACGGGAGGCAGCAGUGGGGAAUAUUGGACAAUGGGCGCAAGCCUGAUCCAGCCAUGCCGCGUGAGUGAUGAAGGCCUUAGGGUUGUAAAGCUCUUUCACCCGCGACGAUAAUGACGGUAGCGGGAGAAGAAGCCCCGGCUAACUUCGUGCCAGCAGCCGCGGUAAUACGAAGGGGGCUAGCGUUGCUCGGAAUCACUGGGCGUAAAGGGCGCGUAGGCGGAUCUUUAAGUCAGGGGUGAAAGCCCAAGGCUCAACCUUGGAAUUGCCUUUGAUACUGGAGAUCUUGAGACCGGAAGAGGUGAGUGGAACUGCGAGUGUAGAGGUGAAAUUCGUAGAUAUUCGCAAGAACACCAGUGGCGAAGGCGGCUCACUGGUCCGGUUCUGACGCUGAGGCGCGAAAGCGUGGGGAGCAAACAGGAUUAGAUACCCCAGUAGUCC
rnacentral:rRNA from 2 species